UACGUAGGGCGCAAGCGUUGUCCGGAAUUAUUGGGCGUAAAGAGCUCGUAGGCGGCCUGUUGCGUCCGCUGUGAAAUCCCGGGGCUCAACCCCGGGCCUGCAGUGGAUACGGGCUGGCUGGAGGCAGGCAGGGGAGAACGGAAUUCCUGGUGUAGCGGUGAAAUGCGCAGAUAUCAGGAAGAACACCCGUGGCGAAGGCGGCUCUCUGGAACGCAACUGACGCUGAGACGCGAAAGCGUGGGGAGCAAACAGG
rnacentral:rRNA from 1 species